GUUUCCGUAGGUGAACCUGCGGAAGGAUCAUUGCACACACGAGUUGCAGCCAACCCGCGGCGAACGAACACAUUGUCCCCCUUCGGCGGGUCGUGGCGCCCUCGCGGCGCCGCGGCCGGCCGUCACCCCCUUCGUCCCUUCGUGGCGUCGGGAUUCCACACGAUGCAUCACCCGAAUGACUGAGUCCCGAAUGCUCGGACGGAAGGAGCGGCGGUGUGCGUUUCGCGUCCCCUUGGGCGGGUGAGCGGGCUUUUGCCGGCUUGCGAACUCGUUCGAGGGGCGCGGCGCGCGCCGGUCACCUGACGGACGGGUGGAAACGUAAUCCAAAAACAACUCUCAGCAACGGAUAUCUUGGCUCUUGCAACGAUGAAGAACGCAGCGAAAUGCGAUACGUAGUGUGAAUUGCAGAAUUCCGCGAAUCAUCGAGUCUUUGAACGCAAGUUGCGCCCGAGGCUUGUCCGAGGGCAUUUCCGCUAGAGCGUCACCGCGCCCCCCACCGAUCCCAACUCCCGCCGCGAGGCGCCAGUUGACCGAGGGUCGAGUGGAAAUGGCCGUCCCGGCGCCAGUUCGCUCCGAGGGUCGGCUGAAAUGGACGGAGUCGGGCCGCCGUGGUGACACAGUCCGCGAUCGGGUGAUUUCGUCGCGGGCCUCCCGCCUGCGGGAGGCUCGCCGUGAAUCUUUCUAAGUGCGUGGCUGCGUCCCCCAGUUGGCUUCGGUUACCCCUCACGCAGGUCGAGCGCGCCCCCGCGGCGCGCGUCACGCAUCAGACCUCUAAUCGGAAAAGACCACCCGCUGAG
rnacentral:rRNA from 1 species